rnacentral:rRNA from 1 species
UGUGACUGCGUACCUUUUGUAUAAUGGGUCAGCGACUUAUAUUCUGUAGCAAGGUUAACCGAAUAGGGGAGCCGAAGGGAAACCGAGUCUUAACUGGGCGUUAAGUUGCAGGGUAUAGACCCGAAACCCGGUGAUCUAGCCAUGGGCAGGUUGAAGGUUGGGUAACACUAACUGGAGGACCGAACCGACUAAUGUUGAAAAAUUAGCGGAUGACUUGUGGCUGGGGGUGAAAGGCCAAUCAAACCGGGAGAUAGCUGGUUCUCCCCGAAAGCUAUUUAGGUAGCGCCUCGUGAAUUCAUCUCCGGGGGUAGAGCACUGUUUCGGCAAGGGGGUCAUCCCGACUUACCAACCCGAUGCAAACUGCGAAUACCGGAGAAUGUUAUCACGGGAGACACACGGCGGGUGCUAACGUCCGUCGUGAAGAGGGAAACAACCCAGACCGCCAGCUAAGGUCCCAAAGUCAUGGUUAAGUGGGAAACGAUGUGGGAAGGCCCAGACAGCCAGGAUGUUGGCUUAGAAGCAGCCAUCAUUUAAAGAAAGCGUAAUAGCUCACUGGUCGAGUCGGCCUGCGCGGAAGAUGUAACGGGGCUAAACCAUGCACCGAAGCUGCGGCAGCGACACUGUGUGUUGUUGGGUAGGGGAGCGUUCUGUAAGCCUGUGAAGGUGUGCUGUGAGGCAUGCUGGAGGUAUCAGAAGUGCGAAUGCUGACAUAAGUAACGAUAAAGCGGGUGAAAAGCCCGCUCGCCGGAAGACCAAGGGUUCCUGUCCAACGUUAAUCGGGGCAGGGUGAGUCGACCCCUAAGGCGAGGCCGAAAGGCGUAGUCGAUGGGAAACAGGUUAAUAUUCCUGUACUUGGUGUUACUGCGAAGGGGGGACGGAGAAGGCUAUGUUGGCCGGGCGACGGUUGUCCCGGUUUAAGCGUGUAGGCUGGUUUUCCAGGCAAAUCCGGAAAAUCAAGGCUGAGGCGUGAUGACGAGGCACUACGGUGCUGAAGCAACAAAUGCCCUGCUUCCAGGAAAAGCCUCUAAGCAUCAGGUAACAUCAAAUCGUACCCCAAACCGACACAGGUGGUCAGGUAGAGAAUACCAAGGCGCUUGAGAGAACUCGGGUGAAGGAACUAGGCAAAAUGGUGCCGUAACUUCGGGAGAAGGCACGCUGAUAUGUAGGUGAAGUCCCUCGCGGAUGGAGCUGAAAUCAGUCGAAGAUACCAGCUGGCUGCAACUGUUUAUUAAAAACACAGCACUGUGCAAACACGAAAGUGGACGUAUACGGUGUGACGCCUGCCCGGUGCCGGAAGGUUAAUUGAUGGGGUCAGCGCAAGCGAAGCUCUUGAUCGAAGCCCCGGUAAACGGCGGCCGUAACUAUAACGGUCCUAAGGUAGCGAAAUUCCUUGUCGGGUAAGUUCCGACCUGCACGAAUGGCGUAAUGAUGGCCAGGCUGUCUCCACCCGAGACUCAGUGAAAUUGAACUCGCUGUGAAGAUGCAGUGUACCCGCGGCAAGACGGAAAGACCCCGUGAACCUUUACUAUAGCUUGACACUGAACAUUGAGCCUUGAUGUGUAGGAUAGGUGGGAGGCUUUGAAGUGUGGACGCCAGUCUGCAUGGAGCCGACCUUGAAAUACCACCCUUUAAUGUUUGAUGUUCUAACGUGGACCCGUGAUCCGGGUUGCGGACAGUGUCUGGUGGGUAGUUUGACUGGGGCGGUCUCCUCCUAAAGAGUAACGGAGGAGCACGAAGGUUGGCUAAUCCUGGUCGGACAUCAGGAGGUUAGUGCAAUGGCAUAAGCCAGCUUGACUGCGAGCGUGACGGCGCGAGCAGGUGCGAAAGCAGGUCAUAGUGAUCCGGUGGUUCUGAAUGGAAGGGCCAUCGCUCAACGGAUAAAAGGUACUCCGGGGAUAACAGGCUGAUACCGCCCAAGAGUUCAUAUCGACGGCGGUGUUUGGCACCUCGAUGUCGGCUCAUCACAUCCUGGGGCUGAAGUAGGUCCCAAGGGUAUGGCUGUUCGCCAUUUAAAGUGGUACGCGAGCUGGGUUUAGAACGUCGUGAGACAGUUCGGUCCCUAUCUGCCGUGGGCGCUGGAGAACUGAGGGGGGCUGCUCCUAGUACGAGAGGACCGGAGUGGACGCAUCACUGGUGUUCGGGUUGUCAUGCCAAUGGCACUGCCCGGUAGCUAAAUGCGGAAGAGAUAAGUGCUGAAAGCAUCUAAGCACGAAACUUGCCCCGAGAUGAGUUCUCCCUGACCCUUUAAGGGUCCUGAAGGAACGUUGAAGACGACGACGUUGAUAGGCCGGGUGUGUAAGCGCAGCGAUGCGUUGAGCUAACCGGUACUAAUGAACCGUGAGGCUUAACCUUACAACGCCGAAGGUGUUU